GCCCGAGUAGCGCAAUGGUUAACGCGUUGGACUUCUAAUCCAAAGAUUGUGGGUUCGAGUCCCACCCCGGGUG
rfam:Yarrowia lipolytica CLIB122 chromosome E complete sequence